GACGGAGGGCGCGAGCGUUGUUCGGAAUCACUGGGCGUAAAGCGCGCGCAGGCGGGACCAGCAAGUCGGGAGUGAAAUCCCGGGGCUCAACUCCGGGGCUGCUUCCGAAACUGCGGACCUGGAGACUGGUAGAGGUGGGUGGAAUUCCCGGUGUAGCGGUGGAAUGCGUAGAGAUCGGGAAGAACACCUGUGGCGAAGGCGGCCCACUGGGCCAGUUCUGACGCUGAGGCGCGAAAGCGUGGGGAGCAAACAGG
rnacentral:rRNA from 1 species